rnacentral:tRNA from 1 species
UGGCUCAGAGGGUAAGAGCACUGGCUGCUCUUCCAGAGGUCCUGGGUUCAAUUCCCAG